rnacentral:rRNA from 1 species
UACGUAGGCAGCAAGCGUUGUUCGGAGUUACUGGGCGUAAAGGGUGCGUAGGCGGUCCUAUAAGUAUGGUGUGAAAUCUCCCGGCUUAACUGGGAGGGUGCGCUAUAGACUGUGGGACUAGAGUGUGGGAGAGGAAAGUGGAAUUCCUGGUGUAGCGGUGAAAUGCGUAGAUAUCAGGUGGAACACCGAUGGCGAAGGCAGCACUCUGGCCGAGUUACUGACGCUGAGGAGCGAAAGCGUGGGGAGCGAACAGG